rnacentral:rRNA from 1 species
AGAUUGAACGCUGGCGGCAGGCCUAACACAUGCAAGUCGAGCGGCAGCACGGGUACUUGUACCUGGUGGCGAGCGGCGGACGGGUGAGUAAUGCCUAGGAAUCUGCCUGGUAGUGGGGGAUAACGCUCGGAAACGGACGCUAAUACCGCAUACGUCCUACGGGAGAAAGCAGGGGACCUUCGGGCCUUGCGCUAUCAGAUGAGCCUAGGUCGGAUUAGCUAGUUGGUGAGGUAAUGGCUCACCAAGGCGACGAUCCGUAACUGGUCUGAGAGGAUGAUCAGUCACACUGGAACUGAGACACGGUCCAGACUCCUACGGGAGGCAGCAGUGGGGAAUAUUGGACAAUGGGCGAAAGCCUGAUCCAGCCAUGCCGCGUGUGUGAAGAAGGUCUUCGGAUUGUAAAGCACUUUAAGUUGGAGAAGGCAUUAACCUAAUACGUUAGUGUUUUGACGUUUACCGACAGAAUAAGCACGGCUAACUCGUGCCAG